rnacentral:misc_RNA from 1 species
UCUCCGUUGGUGAACCAGCGGAGGGAUCAUUACCGAGUUAUGCUACUCCCAAACCCCUGUGAACUUAUACCUUUACUGUUGCUUCGGCGGGUUUACGCCCCGGAAGGCCCGCGAGGGCCGCCGGAACCAGGCGCCCGCCGGGGGACCCAAACUCUUGUAUCUUUUUUAUAGCAUGUCUGAGUGGAAUCAUAAACAAAUGAAUCAAAACUUUCAACAACGGAUCUCUUGGUUCUG